rnacentral:rRNA from 1 species
UACAGAGGUCUCAAGCGUUGUUCGGAUUCAUUGGGCGUAAAGGGUGCGUAGGUGGUGCUGUAAGUCAGGUGUGAAAUCUCGGGGCUCAACCCCGAAACUGCACUUGAUACUGCAGUGCUCGAGGACUGGAGAGGAGAUUGGAAUUUACGGUGUAGCGGUGAAAUGCGUAGAUAUCGUAAGGAACACCGGUGGCGAAGGCGGGUCUCUGGGCCGAAAUUGACGCUGAGGAGCGAAAGCGUGGGGAGCAAACAGG